UGAAAUCUCCAUUAUAUUUUAUGUGCGGAAAUCAAAUAGAACUUUUUUUUUCAGCCUCAAACCUUAUUUUAUGUGCAGCAUAUCAAUUUCACUUGAUAACAAUAAAGUUCAAUGGUAAUGCAUGUAUUUUCCACUUGCAGUACAAUGCAUAAUAGUGGUCACAUUGCUGCAAUCUAUUGAAGAUGCCAGAUCAAGAUUGUAUCGAGUAGACUCGUGACAACAGACAAUAAAAUAUAUUCCGCCAUCUUACGUGUUCUGCGGCGGGGUUUUCGCAGUAUUUUGUUCAACAAAAAAGGAUGAGUAUGUUUUCUAUGUGAUGUAAUGCAGUACGAACAAAGGAUUUUGUGUUGCAAUAAGGAUAAACUAGGUUCCAGACAAAUGUGAAUCGCAUUGGAAUCAAACACCACGUGACGAACUUGUUGACGACCAUAAAGAUGCGUUUCCGUUUUCUCCGUGCUGCCAAAAACAAAAACGAUUCCCAUCAUCCCUGCUGCCUACACCGCACGAUCAACAUUUGGAAUUCGUAUUGCCAAAUCUCAAGCAUGGUUAGAAUAGUUAGAUUCAAUAAAUGUUAAUAUGCUGA